GACGAACGCUGGCGGCGUGCCUAAUACAUGCAAGUCGAACGAACCGCGACUAAGUGCUUGCACUAAGUCAAGGUGAGUGGCGAACGGGUGAGUAACACGUGGGUAACCUACCUCAUAGUGGGGGAUAACAGUCGGAAACGACUGCUAAUACCGCAUAGGACAUAGGAUCACAUGAUCCAGUGAGGAAAGGUGGCGCAAGCUAUCGCUAAGAGAUGGACCCGCGGUGCAUUAGCUAGUUGGUAGGGUAAAGGCCUACCAAGGCGAUGAUGCAUAGCCGACCUGAGAGGGUGAUCGGCCACAUUGGGACUGAGACACGGCCCAAACUCCUACGGGAGGCAGCAGUAGGGAAUCUUCCGCAAUGGACGCAAGUCUGACGGAGCAACGCCGCGUGAGUGAAGAAGGUCUUCGGAUCGUAAAGCUCUGUUGUUAGAGAAGAACAGCGCAUA
rnacentral:rRNA from 1 species